rnacentral:tRNA from 3 species
CAUUAGAUGGCUGAAAG